rnacentral:rRNA from 1 species
AGAGUUAAACAGUACGUGAAAUUGUUGAAAGGGAAACGAUUGAAGUCAGUCGUACCGGUGGGUAAUCAGCCUUUCGGUGUGAUUAUGUGGAGUAUGAGGAGUUAAACGCCCUUGUGCCUGCAUAUUCGUGCUCUUUGGGUGUACUUGCCCGCAUGGUAGGUUAACAUCAAUUUCGGACGUCAUAAAAUGACGGGAGGAAUGUAGCUUCGGUCUCGGCUGAAGUGUUAUAGCCUCUGGUAGAUGUGACGUUUGGGAUUGAGGAUUGCAACGGAUACCCUUAGGGGCUACUCGUCUGAUCUCUGAUAGUUGCUCUGGUGCCGAAAGCGUGCUUACGGUUAUCAAAGUUGACGGUCAACAGGUUAGAACGGGUUAAAUUCGUUAAGGAUGUUGACGUAAUGGCUUUAAACGACC